rnacentral:rRNA from 1 species
CCAGCAGUCGCGGUAAUUCCAGCUCCAAUGGCGUAUAUUAAAGUUGUUGCAGUUAAAAAGCUCGUAGUUGGAUUUCUGGCGGGAGCGACCGGUCGACCCUGAGUGGUGUGUACUGGCGUUGCGUCCGGCCAUAUUUGCGGAGAGCGUGUGUGGCAUUCGUUUGUCGUGCUCGGGACCCGCAUCGUUUACUGUGAGAAAAUUAGAGUGUUCAAAGCAGGCUUAUGCCUUGGAUAUGUUAGCAUGGAAUAAUAAGAUAAGACUUUGGCGGUCUAUUUUGUUGGUUUGCACGCCAUUGUAAUGAUUGAUAGGGACAGUUGGGGGUAUUCAUAUUUAAUUGUCAGAGGUGAAAUUCUUGGAUUUAUGAAAGAUGAACUACUGCGAAAGCAUUUACCAAGGAUGUUUUCAUCAAUCAAGAACGAAAGU